rnacentral:rRNA from 1 species
GACAGAGGGUGCAAACGUUGUUCGGAAUUACUGGGCGUAAAGCGUGUGUAGGCGGUCUGCUAAGUCGGGUGUGAAAGCCCCGGGCUCAACCCGGGAAGUGCACUCGAAACUGGCAGGCUAGAGUACUGGAGAGGUUGGUGGAAUUCCUAGUGUAGCGGUGAAAUGCGUAGAGAUUAGGAAGAACACCAGUGGCGAGGGCGAUUCUCUGGACCAUAACUGACGCUGAGGCAUGAAAGCGUGGGUAGCAAACAGG